CUUCUCCACUAAGAGUGUGCUUGUUUACAUGGAAGCUGAAUUUGAGCAAAGCAGCUUGGGAGAAAGUGUUCUAUCAGAGAGACUUAGGGGUUAGUGUUGCCAAUUUGACCCAAGCUAGAAUCCUCUGGAAAGAGGGGACCUCAAUUGAGAAAAUGCUUCCAGGAGAUACAGUUUUAAGGAAUUUUCUUAAUUAGUGAUUGCUAGGGAAGGGCUCAGCCCAUUGUGGAUGGUACCAUCACUGGGCUGGUGGUUCUGGAUUCUAUAAGAAAGAAGUGUACUAAGCCAGGAGGAGCAAGCCAGUAAGCAGCAUCCCUCCAUGGCCUCUGUAUCAACCCGCUGGAGUUCCUGUCCUGGCUUCCUUCAAUGACUGCCUGACCAUAGCUGAGCUGAUAUCUGAUCAUUAUAUUCUGCUCAGGAGAGGGCAUCAGAUACUACAACCUGGCCAUCAGCCCCCCCCCCCCAUGCCUGCUUUCUCUCCGUGGACCCCACUUUUCUGUCUCCUCCUCUGCACAGCAUCUCAAUGAAUUAGCCUGAGAGCUGUACCCA
ensembl:antisense Gm15564 predicted gene 15564